CCUACGGGAGGCAGCAGUGAGGAAUAUUGGUCAAUGGUCGGGAGACUGAACCAGCCAAGCCGCGUGAGGGAGGAAGGUACAGAGUAUCGUAAACCUCUUUUGUCAGGGAACAAAGACUGGGACGCGUCCCCGGAUGAGUGUACCUGAAGAAAAAGCAUCGGCUAACUCCGUGCCAGCAGCCGCGGUAAUACGGAGGAUGCGAGCGUUAUCGGGAUUUAUGGGGUUUAAAGGGUGCGCAGGCGGUCUGUUAAGUCCGCGGUCAAAGCCCGGGGCACAACCCCGGCCCGCCGUUGAAACUGGCAGUCUCGAGUUGGAGAGAAGUAUGCGGAAUGCGCGGUGUAGCGGUGAAAUGCAUAGAUAUCGGGCAGAACUCCGAUUGCGAAGGCAGCAUGCCGGCUCCACACUGACGCUGAGGCACGAAAGCGUGGGUAUCGAACAGGAUUAGAUACCCCUGUAGUC
rnacentral:rRNA from 1 species